CGCUUUUCAUCUCUUUUCCCCACACCCUUGCUGCACGGGCUAUAAUUUAAAACCUUUAAUUCCUCUCAGCAUAUUUGUCAGGCAUUGUCUCUCCACCAUGGGGCUGUUAUAUACGUUAUUCUCUCUGCCUGGGAUGCUCUACCGCCUCUCCCUCUCCCUACAACAUAAGAUCGUAGCAUUAGAUGCUUCAGUGCCAUUUCCUCUAGGAAACCUUCCCUAACCACAACCAACAGAAAACUCGGGGCCUGUGGCACUUGACAUUUCUCCAUUCUAACACCCACCACAUUCAGACUCGCAAGUUCAUUGAGUGCAUUCCUCCCGGGUUGUAGCUCCACGAUGGCAGGGAAAAUGUUGAAGGUCUAUAUUGAGAAUCACUUUAUUUCAGGAGUCCAACACCAUGUCUGAAACAUCACCAUAGAACAAGAUGGAUGGAUGUUUUCAUCACAACUAUGGAUAUUAGACCUUGCUGAGAUUCUCUCUCCCUGGGGCCUUCCUGUUCCAUCUGCUCCAGCUUACUGGUUCCCCUGCAAAAACAGCAAAGGAUGCCAUCCCUGCACUGGGUAUGUAACUGAACUGAUUAUAUUAGAUUUGGUGCUAUUAAUUUUUAAUAACUUCAGCAAGAAGUAAUUGGGCAGAAUUUCUCCUAUUUCACAGAAGGGCAGGUUGAGGC
ensembl:lincRNA